GAGGGGUUCAUCACUCCUUAAUCAAACCAUUAUCUUACUUUCUCACAUGAUUACAACAAUAGAGAAAGAAGGAAAGAAAGAAAGAGAGAAUAACACACAGUUGACAAAGAAGAAAGGAGGAAAAGACACUUGAAUAAAUGAAGUCCCGUGCAUAGCUGUGGUCUCUCCAGCGGGCACUCUCUGCCAGGGUCCACUGUGGUCGUCUGGUGGCCCGACAUGUACGCGCUUGUGUGCUCUACCCACAAGCAGGGCUGGAAAAGUAGCUGGCUCGCACACUUACUGGAAAGCCAUCAGCAAUUUGCCUUCAUGUCUGAAACAGGUCAAGGCAGGUCCCCCCUUCUCUCUCGCUCGCUCUCUCUCUUUUAUGGGCCCCACCUGCCAGAUUACAAUUCUGGGGCUGCUGCUGCUGUGGCUACUGCUGCAGCUGGGAGAGUUUCUGCUCUCCAGUUUAAAGCCUCAACACUCUCUCUCAUACACACACACACGGGGCACACACACACACACACACGCACGGGCACACACACACACGCACACACACACCAGACAGAGACGCAAAGAAACAGAUAGAAACACAUCCAUCUACACAUGCUGUAAUCUACAGAGGCAUAUAGACAGAUUCAUUCAUGGGUUUAAUUAUAUCCCCAAACACACUCACACCAUAACACAAGAGGAAUCAAGCUCUGAACUCUGUACAAGCCCCGACAGUCCAUAAGGCAAUUGCCUUUAAAUGCGUUGAAAUGUAGGCUACCAAGAUUUAUGCUGUGAAAUAUUGUCAAACUAAUCAUUUUCUCAAACCCAGAAAUUCCAGCUAAACAACAGAAAUAUUCUAACAUUUUAUAUAUAUCCAUCAUUAUCUAUAGGGAUACGAUAUUAUGUUCACGUUGAACUUGGUCGCUGUGAAAGGUCAAAGUGAACAUAAUUCAAACUCAUGAAUGAUGUGCCUUGAACAGAUCGUAAAUGAGGCCGAGGCAAAAUCUCUAGUGACAUGAAAACCCUUCGUAGGAUUUUAUUCAUCUAUGGAAAACAUAAAAACAUUGCGACAAAAGUAACGCUACAAUGCGAAUACUGCACAGUCGCUACGCUGCACACUGCGCAUCGGUAUGCCUGCCAGGUUGAUACUGUUACAUGGAGAGGGGUGAAACGACUUGCCUCCUGCGGGGAGCUGUACACCGAACAUGCAAUUACAGCGGUCUAUUUUUCGAAGAAAACGAACUGCGGGAUCUAACCAGGAUUUGGGACAAGAGAAGGAGAAGAAAAAACAAUCACCUAUUCAUAACGCUGCAGACUUCUGAGAACUCUUAGCAGGGAGCAGACAUUGUUCUCCAGGAAAACGUCUUUUCCUGUCCAGUGCCUAACCAACACGAAUGUCCCAAUAAGAGGGGGGGGGCUCGCCGGUAGCUCAACACGAAAUACGGACAAGGUCUACAUUUCAGUGGGUCCUGAAAGGGAUAUGUGAUUUAUUAAGCUGUAACAAACAAGUCGUCUAAAAGUUUAAGUAUUGUUUAACUGGCUGCUGAGACAGAGGUUGCUGCUGACGUAGGGCAACUUGAAAUGUUCCCUUAACCGAGGAAUGUGUGUUGGGCUACUCAUCCCCAAUCUAGCACGAACGACUAAAAAUAUUGCCUGCAAAAUCGCUCUUACCUUUUGAUCUAACUCACGAAUGCCUCGUGCGAAUUUGGACGCUUUAAAAGAACAAUUUCAACAGCCCCACAAACACUUGCUGCUUGAAUUCGCCGCAGUCCGGUGUUUCGAUGAGGCUUCCUUUCGGCUGCGGCAGAAACAGGGAGGGGGAGGAGGGAGGAAAGUUGCCGCAGUUCGAGCUGUGCUGUCUGGCCGUGUUCGACUCUAGGAGGUAGCUGACUGGUGUUCCUUUAACAUUUUCCAUCCAGUUUCGAACAAUCACAUGGACUUACCUUAAAGUGGCAAUCCACCAAAAAGUGCUCGAUCCACGUUGCUCUUGUCAAUGCGGUCAAUCCUAGAGUUGGAAAGCACGUCCUCUUUCGCGUUAGUUUAGCGAUAAAGUAAGCAGAAUACUUUUUGGAACAGCUUUCGGUCGGUUCUCACUUUCUCCCCCUCCCGGCACCGUAAGAUCAAACCAUCACAUUCCAUGGAGUUCCAAACAAUGAAAAAGGUGGGUUUUCCAGCGCUCCCAAGGACCCACCCCUUAGCGACGACGCUGCAUCUGAAGGGCAAAAAGAACGCCCUUCCCGGCUAUUGCGAUCCCGCCUUUCGAGCAAAGAACCGGCAAGCAAGACGGCUAUUGAAUGCCCUACCGAGUGCAUGGAUAGGGAAAGGGUAAAGUAGGCCCCUGCAAUGGCUGGUGCUGCCCAGACGUGCUUCUUGAGAAUUAGAACUUGAAAGUUUUAAAAUAAUGUCCUAGGGGGGUGCAUUUAACGGUCUAUGAGGGCCAUUAAGACUGGCUCAAGUUUUCAGAAGUUAUGUUAAACAUUCUUUGAACAUUUCUUUACAGUGUACAGUCUCAUAGUCUAUGCAU
ensembl:lncRNA